rnacentral:lncRNA from 10 species
CUCAUAAUAGAAAAGAAGAGGGAAAUGCUGGCCCGUGUCUCCUGAUUUUGAAGAUGUGUUCAUGGCAAGGUUGAAGGAGAAAAGGUGUUAAAUGGAAGAGCCCUUGGAGACUGAGAGGAUAUUGGACACAUAGGUCUAGUGUGAAACUUCACAAGUACACCCCUUAUGUAGAGGCUGACACAUCAGGGGAGGCCAUCACAACCAGAUGGAGGCAGCUUAAACUACAAGAAGAGUAGAGGCCUUUCCCAACUCUAUGUCUUCCCAUGGAGACAAUCACAUGAGGAGAGUUUUGUUGCCUCAGCUCCAUCAUCAUCUUGUCCCCGAAUCCAUGGUAGCAAAUGUCCCUGGGCAUUUAUCCAGAGGAGAGGAAAUUUGUAUAUAAAAGAGACAUCUGCACCUCCGUGUUUAUUGCAGCACCACUCACAAUAGCCAAGAUAGGAAUCAACCUAAGUGUCCAUCAAUAGAAGAAGAACCACAUGGUGCACCAUGCAAAUAGAAAAACAAACUUCUCUAAACUGAUGACGUGGGGCGCUAUCAUGGAUUAGGAGGAGCCUUUCACCCUGAUUGCCUACUACUGUUAAAAAACUAAAACAGGUGUUCUUGGCUGAUGGAUUCCAAUAUUCAAAUAAUAUAUUUUAACCUCCUCUUGCAAGUUUGAUUGUACCAGUAACAACUGAGGGCAUAUUAAUGGGAAGUGAGGUGUAAUGGAUUCUCUCUCCAUCUUCUCCGGGUAGCAUCCAUCUCCUCCCUGCAAAGUGACAAGGUAAUGAAAUGAACAAGUGGAGUGAAAUGAUAUGACCUGAUGCUUCAGUAUCAGGGCAGUAGGGAGAAUACUACUUGGGCGAAGGUCAUCACUUAGCUCCCUGAGAUGCACAGCAGGAUAGGGUUGCUGUAUUCCAUGACAGCUAGCACGGUGCCUUUUGUGGAGUGGGUAGUCAACACUGGUUCUUCCUAUCUAAUACAGAGAAAUGUUCAGGAGUAACAUUGGUCUCAACUGAAUCAAUGUGUUUGAUCAUUUAUGAUUGGGACAUAUUUCAUUUUAUGCCAAGAAUGCAG